UACAGAGGUCCCAAGCGUUGUUCGGAUUCACUGGGCGUAAAGGGUGCGUAGGUGGCAAGGUAAGUCGGAUGUGAAAUCUCCGAGCUCAACUCGGAAAUGGCAUUGGAAACUACCUUACUAGAGGAUUGGAGGGGGGACUGGAAUUCUCGGUGUAGCAGUGAAAUGCGUAGAUAUCGAGAGGAACACCAGUGGCGAAGGCGAGUCCCUGGACAAUACCUGACACUGAGGCACGAAAGCUAGGGGAGCAAACAGG
rnacentral:rRNA from 1 species